GCUGAAGCUGGGCGGGGCCGGGUGUGUGUGCGGGGGAGAGGCUAGGGGCGGAGAAAGGACGGAGAGGUAAUCGCAGGUAUGCGGAGCGUGAGUCUGAGCUGUGUGCGCGUUCCAGUUCAGCGAGCAUGUCGUACGCGCAGGAACCCUCUGAAGCGCAGAAAGUAGGAAGGUACUGGACACCUCCACCACCCUUUCUCCCCAGCCUCGGGGUUGCUCUCUCCCUCUGGCCCAGCCGCCACCCAACAGACCGAGGGUGCCUGUCUGACUGUGCCCUGCCUGGGGCACGGGCAUCCCCUCUGAGCUGAUGUUGGGUGAAGGAAUGACUGAUGGGGAUGGUGACAGCACCCAGGAGCUGACCGUCCCCAUCAGAGCAGCAGCCUCCCACUCCCAUUUCUUGGGAAGACCUGCACACCCAGCGGCCUCUGGGGGAUGCCAGGGCCCCUGUGGACAGAGAAUGUUGCUCACCAUCAAGCCUUCUGCCACUGCAGCGCCACCCCCCUUCCCCACAGUGGUGCGCCGUGAGGGGAUUCAGGAUGGAGAAGAACCAGAUACUGGCCCUGGAUAGCUGAAGUGCAUAUCCAAGGAAUGAUUUCAGUGAGCCCAGACAGCAUCUAGCAUCUUCCCAUACACAGAAAAGCACUGCAAUCAUUAACUAGAGAUGUCAGCUUUUUGUGAUUAGCAGGAACCUUUUGAUGUUUGACUCUAUGGGGUUUUUUUCAGCAAAAACUCCGAGGAACAGUUCCUCAGAGCUAUAUGAGAGGCAAUGUC